UAAGCGGAGGAAAAGAAACCAACAGGGAUUGCCUCAGUAACGGCGAGUGAAGCGGCAAAAGCUCAAAUUUGAAACCCUCGGGAUUGUAAUUUGAAGAUUUGGCAUUGGAGAAAGCUAACCCAAGUUGCUUGGAAUAGUACGUCAUAGAGGGUGACAACCCCGUCUGGCUAACCGUUCUCCAUGUAUUGCCUUAUCAAAGAGUCGAGUUGUUUGGGAAUGCAGCUCAAAGUGGGUGGUAAACUCCAUCUAAAGCUAAAUACUGGUGAGAGACCGAUAGCGAACAAGUACUGUGAAGGAAAGGUGAAAAGAACUUUGAAAAGAGAGUGAAAUAGUAUGUGAAAUUGUUGAUAGGGAAGGAAAUGAGUGGAGAGUGGCCGAGGUUUCAGCCGCCCCUCGUGGGCGGUGUACUGCCGACGCCGAGUCAUCGAUAGCGAGACGAGGGUUACAAAUGGGAGCGCCUUUCGGGCGUUCUCCCCUAACCCUCCACACUGCCACCGACAACAUAAUCCACCCAUUUCACCCGUCUUGAA
rnacentral:rRNA from 1 species